rnacentral:tRNA from 1 species
GUGGAUAUGGUGAAGUGGUAAACACAAACGACUGUGACUCGUUCAUACGUGGGUUCGAUCCCCACUAUCCACC